CAAUAGCGUAUAUUAAAGUUGUUGCAGUUAAAAAGCUCGUAGUUGGACUUCUGCGGGUGGCGGCCGGUCGUGCCCUUUUGUGGCGUGAACUUGGCUCUUUGCCGCCCGCAUCUUUGGGGAGAUUGUGCGUGGCAUUAGGUUGUCGUGCAUGGGAUUCUCAUCAUUUACUGUGAAAAAAUUAGAGUGUUUAAAGCAGGCCUUUGCCUUGAAUACAUUAGCAUGGAAUAAUAAGAUAGGACCGUUGUCUAUUUUGUUGGUUUACAGAUGUCGGUAAUGAUUAAUAGGGAUAGUUGGGGGUAUUCGUAUUCAGUUGUCAGAGGUGAAAUUCUUGGAUUUUCGGAAGACGCACGACUGCGAANGNAUUUACNAAGGAUGUUUNCAUUA
rnacentral:rRNA from 1 species